GGAAUUGACGGGGCCCGCACAAGCGGUGGAGCAUGUGGUUUAAUUCGACGCAACGCGAAGAACCUUACCAGGGCUUGACAUCCCCUGACCGCGUAUGAAAGUACGUUUUCACCUCGGGUGACAGGGAGACAGGUGGUGCAUGGUUGUCGUCAGCUCGUGUCGUGAGAUGUUGGGUUAAGUCCCGCAACGAGCGCAACCCCUACGUUUAGUUGCUAACAGGUGAAGCUGAGCACUCUAGACGAACUGCCGUUGACAAAACGGAGGAAGUGGGGAUGACGUCAAAUCAUCAUGCCCCUUAUGUUCUGGGCUACACACGUGCUACAAUGGCCGGUACAGACGGAGGCGAAGCCGCGAGGCGGAGCAAAUCCGAAAAAGCCGGUCUCAGUUCGGAUUGCAGGCUGCAAUUCGCCUGCAUGAAGUCGGAAUCGCUAGUAAUCGCAGGUCAGCAUGCUACGGUGAAUACGUUCCCGGGCCUU
rnacentral:rRNA from 1 species